UUUGACGCUGAAUAACAAGAAUCACCUUAGCAGGACAUGAAAUAAGAAUAAUUGGAAAGUUACGAGCAUUUUUUACCGAGACUCACACAAGCUGCAGCGAUUUUAUGUACCGAAGAACAUGCAGCUCCGAACCUUUCGAGAAACUGGAAUUUUUCGAGUUUGAAAUCGCCCUGUAGCCAGUGAUUUUAUCGACCGAAAAAAACCUUUUGACCAAUUGCCAUCGCGACGAGUCUUCCCCCUGAUCAGUGACACGCAUCCGUUUACAUGAAAAUUGUAUCAACAUUAAUUAAUGUGUUUGCUCGAGCAUGGCAUUCCCAAUUGAGUGUUCUGUAAAUCUGGCCAAUCUUCCGGAGCCUUUAUUGGCAUACAAUAUUUCACUAAAUUAUUCCAAGAGGGAUCAUCGAGGGGAAAAUCAUCUCGAUCGACAUUGGCCCAAAUUUCGGAACAAGGAAGACAUCGAACGUGGUCGUGAGACGCGAAUGUGUUUUUUGGACAUGGAAGACAUUGCUGUGUGUCCAAAAGUGUGCCGUUCCCAUUUCUCUCAACUGAAAGCUCAAUAUGCAUUUUUUUUUUUCAAAUUUAUCAUGUUCAAAAGUUUUCAAAUAAUCGAGAGAACGGUGGUUUCCGGAAAAAUGAUUAUUUUCAAAAAUGACUAGACGAAAGUAUUCAAUUUCAUUUUUUUAUCGUUAUUUACCUGUCAUAGAAUUUCCUAAACAGCCACAAAAUUUUCCACGGUCUCGGCAAGAAAUGCACUCAAAUUCGUCGGUGGUACGAAUUUUUCCCACUCCACAGGACACGCAGACCGGAAGUCCAUCUUUGAAUGCGGCGGUUUUGCUUCUUUUGUCACAAACACAUUCGUAACCUGAGAAGUUAUGAAUUUUGAUAAUUUUUUUUUGCUAGUAAUGAGUUAACGGUAAGUUUGAUCAUGCAAAUUGAUGGAUUGACGAAACUGACCAUCAUUGGACGCUACUAAAUUGCUGGGACACUUUUCACAUCUAAAUAAAUCGGUGUGGAAAAAUUCGUAAUCUUUGUUUCGACAACUCGAAGGCUCGCUCCAUUCGAACCCUUGAUCUUCACUUUCACAAUGAACAAUUGGCGAUGUUAGAGAAGAAAAAUAAAAAAAUAGGAGGGUUGAUACUUUCA